rnacentral:rRNA from 1 species
AAGUCGAGCGGGGGNAGCAAUCCCUAGCGGCAGACGGGUGAGUAACGCGCUCAAUAACGUGCCCCUUGGUUUGGGAUAGCUGGCCGAAAGGCCAGGUAAUACCGGAUGUGGCCUUCGAGAGACAUCUCUUGAAGAAGAAAGCAGUAAUGCGCCAGGGGAUCGGUUUGCGACCUAUCAGCUAGUUGGUGAGGUAACGGCUCACCAAGGCUUCGACGGGUAGCCGGUCUGAGAGGAUGAUCGGCCACACUGGCACUGAGAUACGGGCCAGACUCCUACGGGAGGCAGCAGUGAGGAAUUUUGCGCAAUGGGCGAAAGCCUGACGCAGCGACGCCGCGUGAGGGAUGAAGGUCUUCGGAUCGUAAACUCCUGUCAUUUGAGAACAAGGGGUUCGUGUUAACUGCACGGGCCUUGAUAGUAUCAGAAGAGGAAGAGACGGCUAACUCUGUGCCAGCAGCCGCGGUAAUACAGAGGUCUCAAGCGUUGUUCGGAUUCAUUGGGCGUAAAGAGUGCGUAGGCGGCGGCGUUAGUCGGGUGUGAAAUCCCAGGGCUCAACCCUGGAACUGCAUUCGAUACUGCGUCGCUUCGAGGACUGGAGAGGAGACUGGAAUUCACGGUGUAGCAGUGAAAUGCGUAGAUAUCGUGAGGAAGACCANUGGCGAANGCGAGUCUCUGGACAGUUCCUGACNCUGAAGCACNAANGCCCAGGGGAGCAAACGGGAAUUAGAUACCCGGUAGUCCUGGCAGUAAACGGUGCGCGUUUNGUUNUGGGAGAUUCAACCCC